ensembl:snoRNA
GGGAUGUGUUCAGAACAGGGGUCCUGAAGAAAUGACCUCUCUGUUUACAACACACCCAACAGGAAUCUGGGUUCAUGGUGAAAAGGGGCACAAAACUCGUGGCCUUCCUGUGAACAAAUACCCAACAGGU